rnacentral:lncRNA from 1 species
AUGAUAUUUCUGGCAUUACUGAACGAUUUUGCCCCAAAUAUUCAUUCAAAAGCCAAGCUUCCCUGUAACAAAUUCUUUAAUAAGUCUACAGGUAAGGUUGUUUCUGGAAGAAUUAGUAAAUUAAAGAACUCAUUACUAAUUUGGAAGAUGGGCUCAGAGGAAACAAUGCAAUUACCAUCACAACUUCAGGCGAUGAUGCAAAGCGAUUUCCUAACGAUGAUGACGAACAUGAUGAACAUGAUCUGCACUCUUCAGCAGGACGUCCAGGACGUAAAACAUUUUGUGCGUGAUUUUCAGGCGACCCGGGCAGCGACCCCGUGUUUGGCCGAGACGCCGCCAGAUGAGACGAAGAUGCUGCAGGCUGAUGUUUUGACAGGUUCUGACUCACAGGAAAACAACAACACCUCACUGGUCGUUCCAUCCGUGGCGAUGUUAGGCGAUGCACCCAUGGACGACGGCCCCGGUACCGCUAUCGCCAUAGCUGACAAAGUUUUGCUCGCACCUCUGGUCGUGAAGAAGGGGUCUAGUAGGCCCACAGUAGAGGUCACUGUACAUCAGGGACAUCGCUGUGUCGCAUUACUAGACACAGGUUCGGACAUUACGCUCAUCAGCAGAGGUUUUUACAAUAGCAUGUGCGAAAAAAGGGGGGAGGACCUCUUCCCCCCCCCCACACUCAUUCCGUGCUUGUUAACUGUCAAUGAUUUCAGUGGCAUUCCAGCGACCGUGUCUUCAAAGACUGAGGUCAACAUCUCGAUAGGGGCCAUGACCCUAAAACACCCCGUGUACAUCGUUGAGAAUUUAACCAUGCCCAUGCUCAUAGGGCUGGACUGUCUCCAGCGCCUUAACUCUGUCAUCAACUACGAGUCCGGACAACUGUUUGCACGUGUGAGAAAGCCUAAGCCGUACAAACCGCCGCCUGACACGGACUUCCACUGUUCUGUGGCAAGUCUUUCAGGUGGGGGCACAACUAUGGGCUCACCACCACGCUCAAAGCCACCGGGAAAGCUCCCUGAAAUUCUGUCCCAGAUUGAGAAUGUAAUAGACCAAGCGGAUGCUCUCACCAACGAGGUCGAGCGAGACAAACUACGACAACUUUUGCUAAAGUACAUGGAUUUUCUUUCACUUGACUCCUUGGACUGUGGUCUAACCACUAUCCAUGAAGUCCGGAUUCCUACAAGGCCAGAUGCACCGCCGACCUUUGUGCGGCAAUACAAGAUUCCCCUGGCGUCCCAAGGACUAGUCCAGGAAAUCAUUGACAGCCUCUUGACUAACGGGAUCAUUUGA